rnacentral:rRNA from 1 species
CAGGCCUAACACAUGCAAGUCGAGGGGCAGCGAGGUAUUAGUUUACUAAUACUGUCGGCGACCGGCGCACGGGUGCGUAACGCGUAUGCAACCUACCUAUAACAGGGGGAUAAUCGAGAGAAAUUUUGUCUAAUACCCCGUAAUACUUUGAGAGGCAUCUUUUGGAGUUGAAAGAUUUAUUGGUUAUAGAUGGGCAUGCGUGACAUUAGUUAGAUGGUGAGGUAACGGCUCACCAUGACUACGAUGUCUAGGGGAACUGAGAGGUUUAUCCCCCACACUGGUACUGAGACACGGACCAGACUCCUACGGGAGGCAGCAGUGAGGAAUAUUGGUCAAUGGACGCAAGUCUGAACCAGCCAUGCCGCGUGCAGGAAGACGGCUCUAUGAGUGUAAACUGCUUUUGUAAGAGAAUAAAAAGAGUUACGUGUAACUAAUUGAAUGUAUCUUACGAAUAAGGAUCGGCUAACUCCGUGCCAGCAGCCGCGGUAAUACGGAGGAUUCGAGCGUUAUCCGGAUUUAUUGGGUUUAAAGGGUGCGUAGGUUGCUUGGAGAGUUAGUGGUUAAAGCCUAUAGCUCAACUAUAGCCCGCCAUUAAAACUAUCAAGCUAGAGAGUGGUUGCAGCUGGCGGAAUGUGUAGUGUAGCGGUGAAAUGCAUAGAUAUUACACAGAACACCGAUUGCGAAGGCAGCUGGCUAAACCACAUCUGACACUGAGGCACGAAAGCGUGGGGAUCAAACGGGAUUAGAUACCCCGGUAGUCCACGCCGUAAACGAUGGUAACUCGAUGUCGGCGAUAUACAGUCGGUGUCUAAGCGAAAGCGAUAAGUUAUCCACCUGAGGAGUACGACCGCAAGGUUGAAACUCAAAGGAAUUGACGGGGGCCCGCACAAGCGGAGGAACAUGUGGUUUAAUUCGAUGAUACGCGAGGAACCUUACCCGGGC